CCCAUUGUGGGCUAAGGGAUCCUCCGCCUGGCUUCCCUGGGUAUUUUAGCUGUUUGAGGCUCUUGCCUCGGGCUCUCAGCUGACUGCAAAAGUGGUGGUGGAGAAGAAUUGCUCUUAUGGCAGAAUGAGAGUCUGCUCUAAUAUCUCUCCACUAAUCUUGGCUGACACCUAAUAAUCUGCAAAAAAGCCACAACCUGAUGACAGAGCUAUGUAGGAAAAGUACCUAUGGAUUUUUUUUCCUAGGGUUCCACUGACUCAAGCCUGCAAACAAGCAGCAAGAAACAUGUGUUGACAAGGUGUAGGCAUAAGUCCCUCUGUGUAACCCAGAGAACAAGGUGCUGUCUGCAAAGUCCUCACUGCUCUCCUGGGUCUGGCAGGGACUGGCCAUCAUGAAGUGGCUUGUUGGAUGCAUUUGUUUCAGCUUCUAAGGAUCAAUAUUUAGUGUGAGAGAAUCUUUUGCUUCUGAAUGUUUCUUUUUUAAACCCCUGACCUUGUCAAUAUUAAGCACAGUUUACUAUGUGUUGUUUCCUUUUCCCAGUUUGGGAAUCCUUCUAAUAAUGGUUCCUCUUCUUGUUGGGAGAGCAGGAGAAGCCAUGCCUGGUAAAAAGGGCCUUUUUUCCAUCCUCCUCUCUGGGUUCUUUGCUGACCUAGCUGUACUUUGGCCUUGUUGAAGCAUGGGCCUUCUGAUCUUGAUGUAAAGAACACUUUAUUUGACAUUUAUGAGCUUGCCUGCUGUUGAUUGUGCCCUUGUUUACAGAUAAAAGCUGGUCCUAUAGCCUUU